CGUGCGUAGGUGGCGUGUUAAGUGAGAUGUUAAAUCGUGGGGCUCAACCCUGUCGGUGCAUCUCAUACUGGCAUGCUAGAGGGAAGCAGAGGCAAGUGGAAUUUGUAGUGUAGCAGUGAAAUGCGUAGAUAUUACAAGGAACACCAAUGGCGAAGGCAGCUUGCUGGGCUUCUUCUGACACUGAGGUACGAAAGCGUGGGGAGCGAACAGGAUUAGAUACCCUGGUAGUCCACGCCGUAAACGAUGCAUACUAGUCUUAUGGGGUAUCGACCCCCUGUGAGACGAAGCUAACGCGAUAAGUAUGCCGCCUGGGAAGUACGGCCGCAAGGCUAAAACUCAAAGGAAUUGACGGGGACCCGCACAAGCGGUGGAUCAUGUGGUUUAAUAUGACGAUACGCGUAGAACCUUACCAAGGCUUGACAUCCCUGGGACCUGGUGGAAACACCGGGGUGCCUUCGGGAGCCAGGUGACAGGUGCUGCAUGGCCGUCGUCAGCUCGUGUCGUGAGAUGUUGGGUUAAGUCCCGCAACGAGCGCAACCCUUAUCGUAUGUUGUAUUUUUCAUGCGAGACUGCCCGGGCCAACCGGGAGGAAGGUGGGGAUGACGUCAGGUCGGCAUG
rnacentral:rRNA from 1 species